rnacentral:rRNA from 1 species
GACGUAGGGCGCGAGCGUUGUCCGGAUUUAUUGGGCGUAAAGAGCUCGUAGGCGGCUUGUCGCGUCGACUGUGAAAACCCGCGGCUCAACUGCGGGCCUGCAGCCGAUACGGGCAGGCUAGAGUUCGGUAGGGGAGACUGGAAUUCCUGGUGUAGCGGUGAAAUGCGUAGAUAUCUGGAGGAAUACCGGUGGCGAAGGCGGCAUCCUGGACCAUUACUGACGCUGAGGCGCGAAAGCUAGGGGAGCAAACGGG